rnacentral:rRNA from 1 species
AGGAUGAACGCUAGCGGCAGGCUUAACACAUGCAAGUCGAGGGGCAGCAUGAGACUGAGAUUCGUCGAAGUCUGAUGGCGACCGGCGCACGGGUGCGCAACGCGUAUCCAACCUUCCCGUUACUCAGGGAUAGCCUUCCGAAAGGGAGAUUAAUACCUGAUGGUGUUCAAAUUCCGCAUGUUAUUUGAACUAAAGAUUUAUCGGUAACGGAUGGGGAUGCGUGACAUUAGAUAGUAGGCGGGGUAACGGCCCACCUAGUCUACGAUGUCUAGGGGUUCUGAGAGGAAGGUCCCCCACACUGGAACUGAGACACGGUCCAGACUCCUACGGGAGGCAGCAGUGAGGAAUAUUGGUCAAUGGUCGGAAGACUGAACCAGCCAAGUAGCGUGAAGGAUGAAGGUUCUAUGGAUUGUAAACUUCUUUUAUACGGGAAUAAAACCUCCCACGUGUGGGAGCUUGUAUGUACCGUAUGAAUAAGCAUCGGCUAACUCCGUG